UUACAUUGUUCUUAACUUCUUUGAGACUCUUGACAAAAUUUUACUGCCUAAGCUUGAAGAAUAAACAGAAGACUAAUUACUUCAGCACACUAGAUUAAGAAAGGACUAUAGCUAGUAUUGAGCACGGAAAGACAGAAGAGAGUCAAUGCUGCAGCAAGCAUGAAGUCAUGUCACAAAGAAGCUUAAAGGUCCAAUUAUGUGAAAGGGAUCAAUGGUGGAGAACUAAAGACAGUAAGAAAUAUCUAGAUCAUUCACUUUAUAAUGGGUCACUAUUUUGAGGACAAACUUAGUGAAAGUUUUUUUCAAUUGAGAGCUUUGAGAAUUUUUAUAGGUUUUGGACAAUGUUUAUAUACUCCCUCUUAGCUUUCUCCAACGGACCCCCCUCCAUCAACCAUUUGGCAGGAUCUAGAUUCACAUUUGUUCACAAACUUGUGGCAAAACUUCAACCAAGUGAUGUUUAACAUUUGAAACUUUUGUUUCU